rnacentral:rRNA from 1 species
GGAUGAACGCUGGCGGCGUGUUUAACACAUGCAAGUCGAGCGAGAAGCUCAUCAGCAGAUUCUUCGGAAAAAGCAGAUGAGCGGAAAGCGGCGGACGGGUGAGUAACGCGUAGGCAACCUGCCCUUUGCAGAGGGAUAGCCUCGGGAAACCGGGAUUAAAACCUCAUAAUGCACAGUUUUGACAUCAUAGCUGUGCCAAAGAUUUAUCGGCAAAGGAUGGGCCUGCGUCUGAUUAGUUAGUUGGUGGGGUAACGGCCUACCAAGGCAGUGAUCAGUAGCCGACCUGAGAGGGUGAUCGGCCACAUUGGAACUGAGACACGGUCCAAACUCCUACGGGAGGCAGCAGUGGAGAAUCUUGCACAAUGGGGGAAACCCUGAUGCAGCAACGCCGCGUGAAGGAAGAAGGCCCUUGGGUCGUAAACUUCUUUUCUAAGGGAAGAUAAUGACGGUACCUUAGGAACAAGUCCCGGCUAACUACGUGCCAGCAGCCGCGGUAAUACGCAGGGGGCGAGCGUUAUCCGGAAUUAUUGGGCGUAAAGAGUACGUAGGUGGUUUCCUAAGCAUGGGGUUUAAGGCAAUGGCUCAACUGUUGUUCGCCCUAUGAACUGGGUUACUUGAGUGCUGGAGGGGAAAGCGGAAUUCCUAGUGUAGCGGUGAAAUGCGUAGAUAUUAGGAGGAACACCAGUGGCGAAGGCGGCUUUCUGGACAGUAACUGACACUGAGGUACGAAAGUGUGGGGAGCAAACAGGAUUAGAUACCCUGGUAGUCCACACCGUAAACGAUGAGCACUAGGUGUCGGGUUCGCAAGAGCUCGGUGCCGCAGUUAACGCAUUAAGUGCUCCGCCUGGGGAGUACGUACGCAAGUAUGAAACUCAAAGGAAUUGACGGGGACCCGCACAAGCAGCGGAGCAUGUGGUUUAAUUCGAAGCAACGCGAAGAACCUUACCAGGACUUGACAUCCCUCUGACAGGCCAGAUAACGACGGCCUUUCUUCGGACAGAGGUGACAGGUGGUGCAUGGUUGUCGUCAGCUCGUGUCGUGAGAUGUUGGGUUAAGUCCCGCAACGAGCGCAACCCUUGUCUUUAGUUGCCAGCAUUCAGUUGGGCACUCUAGAGAGACUGCCGGGGAUAACUCGGAGGAAGGUGGGGAUGACGUCAAAUCAUCAUGCCCCUUAUGUUCUGGGCUACACACGUGCUACAAUGGUCGGUACAAAGAGUCGCGAGACCGUGAGGUGGAGCCAAUCUCAAAAACCGAUCCCAGUUCGGAUUGCAGGCUGCAACUCGCCUGCAUGAAGUCGGAGUUGCUAGUAAUCGUGGAUCAGAAUGCCACGGUGAAUGCGUUCCGGGUCU